rnacentral:ncRNA from 1 species
UCACAGCACUCUGAAGAAUGCCGCCAUCGUCAGCCGGCAUACCGAAGGAGCAAGCGGCCCCGCCUCCGGUACCCCCGGUACCCCCGGUACCACCGGCGACUGUCGUGAAUCUCUCAGGUCAGGAACAGAGGGGGCGUC